rnacentral:rRNA from 1 species
UAAUACGUAGGGUGCAGGCGUUAAUCGGAAUUACUGGGCGUAAAGCGUGCGCAGGCGGUUUGCUAAGACAGGUGUGAAAUCCCCGGGCUUAACCUGGGAACUGCGCUUGUAACUGGCAAGCUAGAGUGUGGCAGAGGGGGGUGGAAUUCCAGGUGUAGCAGUGAAAUGCGUAGAGAUCUGGAGGAACACCGAUGGCGAAGGCAGCCCCCUGGGCUAACACUGACGCUCAUGCACGAAAGCGUGGGGAGCAAACAGGAUUAGAUACCCUGGUAGUCC